UUAAUUCGUAAUGAGUAUUAUAGUAUUAUAAGUUAUAUCAUUAAGAUUUUAGAGUAAGCAUGUUGUAAGUAGUAGUAAUUAACUUAAUACUCUAAUUAGUCUCUAGUUUAGUAGUUUAUGUUUAGCAAUGCCGUAUUUGAACAUUUUACGCCCCGAGGCAACAUGUUUUUGAAGAAAAGAAAUUCACAUAAAUCGCUUGGAACUUGGAAGGUAUUGAAGGAAUCAAGUAGUUAUAUGGAGAAUGAUUAAUAUGACACACUAGGGAAAUAUGACACUUUGAUGUUUCAACAAGAAAUACUAAUUUUUAGAUCCAAGUAUUUUUCAACUAUGUAUGACUUAUGAGCUCCAUCAUUGUAGCUCAAAAAAAAAAUUGUAUUUUGUGUGAUAUAGGUAUGUACAUUAUUUUUUUUAUCAAUCUGAAUAUUUAAUUUUUGUCGUACCUAAGAUUGUAUAUUUUGAGUUGCAUAAAUAAAAGUGAGUUAUACUAUAUUUCUGUCAUAAAUUAACUUAAUUCUAGUACUUUUGCAAAGAAACUUAAAUAAAAUAUGAAGUACCCAGGACAAAUGACGUAGCAAUAGGUAGUUUGUUUUUAUUAAGCUUUGUUAAUUACUGUUAAAUCUUGUUAAACUAUGUGAUUAUAUAUAUCGGUGUUAAGUUGUUAUAAUUAAAAUAUUACACAGGUAGUUGAAAUUAUAUAAUGAAUUUAUUUUAAAAAGAGAAAUUUCAAUUUUUUCUAUAUGGUUGCAUAUAUACAAGCGUGUGUAUGUAAUUUUACCUGAGCACCCGGGUAAAUGACAUAUUACUAACAUGUUAUUGUUGAGUUAGAGAUGCGUCCAAGGUAUCUGGAAGUGGUAAUAUAAAAUAACAGUACUACGAUCUUAUGGAAAAUGCCAUAUCACCAACAACAAGACAAGCUAUUUCUCCACCCAGAGAUCUAUUGCACAAAAAAUCUGAAGUUUCAGUACACAAAAUAUUUGUAAGUUCAAUUCAUGAGUGAUCUGUAAGCUUGAUGCAUGAAUCAAUUGAUUCUCCAACUUCUGGGUUAGUGCAAAAAACAUUAUUAAAUGAAAAAACUAGCAAUAAAACACCUUCUUGGCUUAAAAAAUGAACAGUUGAAAUUCGCAAAAGACAAUGUGAAUCAACUCAACGGUCGUCUUGACAAGUUGGAAAAAGAGAAGAGCAAACGUUACAAGUUCAAGAAGAACUGGUCAACAAAUUCCAAGAUGCUAAUAAUAUUGAACUUCAAAAACUUAAUGUUUUUAAAAAAAUGUUAAGCAUUGAUUAGUGAGAUAGUUUGGGUUUUUUAUUUUAUAAUCAUAAGUUAAUUUCAGUUUUUUUUAUUUGUAUUUCUU